rnacentral:ncRNA from 1 species
UAAAAUCAAAGGCAAACCAUUCCGAAAGGGUGGGACGCAAAGAUAUAGGGCUUACUUUUUUAGAUGCUUGCUAUAUCUGCAUAA